rnacentral:rRNA from 1 species
GACGAACGCUGGCGGCGUGCUUAACACAUGCAAGUCGAACGGAAAGCCCCUGCUUUUGUGGGGUGCUCGAGUGGCGAACGGGUGAGUAACACGUGAGUAACCUGCCCUUGACUUUGGGAUAACUUCAGGAAACUGGGGCUAAUACCGGAUAGGAGCUCCUGCUGCAUGGUGGGGGUUGGAAAGUUUCGGCGGUUGGGGAUGGACUCGCGGCUUAUCAGCUUGUUGGUGGGGUAGUGGCUUACCAAGGCUUUGACGGGUAGCCGGCCUGAGAGGGUGACCGGCCCCAUGGGGACGGGGUGCCGGCCCAGCCGCCGACGGGGGGAGGCAGGGGGGAAAAUUGCACAAGGGGGGGAAGGCGGAGGACGCAACGCCGGGGGGGGGAUGGCGGGUUUGGGGGUGGAAACCGGUUGCGCGGGGGAAGAAGCGGGGGGGAGGGGAAGGGGUAAAGAAGCACCGGCAAACUACG